GUGUUUCCUAUUAUUUAUAGUAUUUUCUCCAUAUGUGGGGUGCGUCAUGUACACCUGGUGCUGGCAUGUUUGAGAUUUGUGGUAGGAAAGAAGCCUCCCAGGAGAAUGGCGUGAACCCCCGGGGGCGGAGCCUGCAGUGAGCCGAGAUCGCGCCACUGCACUCCAGCCUGGUCGAUAGCGAGACUCCGUCUCAAAAAAAAAAAAAGAAAAAAAAGAAAAGAAACGAAGCCACCAACCAACCCAGCCACCUGGAGGCCAGGGGUGGGUAAUGGCUUGGGCGCCUGGAGGCAGGUCUCUGAGAGGAAGCACUGGGGCAGUUGUCCAAGAGCGCAGGCUGUCUACAGGGUGCUUUCCGUGGGCUUGUUGAAGGCACUUAGCAACACAGAAAUAAGCCUAAACACUAUUUGAAAAACCCCCAAAUCUGUGACCCCUCCCUACCAGCUCCACUAGAGAGUUCCAUGGCCGUCACACAGUGAGAAACCUAGCACCCAACGUCAUCAUGGUAUUUACCAUGUUGCAAUACAGAAAGCAUUUGGAGAAUUGCUAAUCUAUUCCACUGUGAAAAACAACCUGCUGAGAAAUGCUGCUUCCACCCAGCAACCUGCUGCCUUGAAUAACCAGAAAACGAAAUAAGAUACAUGAGACAACCAUUUCCAACCUUAAACAAUAGUCAGCACAGGAAGAAAAUAACACUGGAAAGACCGGAAAGAAACUAAGCCAGCCAUACAAUUACAUAGCUUACUGCUUGGAAGAAAUUUCCAGGCCGCAGCACAGAAAAGGGAAUAUCAAACAGAGACCAGCAAUUUUGCUGAUUUGAGUAGACAGAGACUGUAGAUUUGAGAGGCCAAGGCAGCUAGAAUUUGCAAUGCAGACUACCAGAGAUAAGGGAACUGCAGGGAGAGUUCCAGAGAUCUACAGGGGGUCCUCUCAUAUCUUUGCCUCAAUAUUAAUCUGUGACUGUGUGUGGCUAAAUCUCCACAGGACUGGGAAAGGAACCACUAGAAAACAGAACUACAAAAGAUUCCUAGAGUUCACACACGUAUAGUAAAUUUUAUACCGCCACCAGCAAAAUUAGAGAGAGUAAUGCAUGGGUGUUGGGCAGAGAUCAUGGAAGGAUGCUGCUUUGGAAGUUAGAGUAAGCUAACCCUAGAUGAGAGGCUGCCGUGGAUCUUCUGCCAAAAAAAGCUGACAAGUGGACUUCAAAAGAAUAAGCUGAUUGUAGGCAGUAUCACAGAGCGCUAGACCAAGUUUCUACAUUCCCCGAAGCGAUAAACAGCACUCAAUAGCAUUAACGUUUAUAAUGCCUGGCAUUCAACGAAGUACCGUUUAUACAAAAUAAGCAUAAUAAUAAAACCCAUAACCAGGAGAAAACUCGGUUAAUAGAAACAUACCCAGUAAUAACAGAGAUUAUGGAAUUUGCAGAUAAAAGCAUUAAGACAGAACACACACACACACAUUUGUUCAAGAUGUAUAGGAAAACAUGAGCAUGAUGGCAAGAGAAAUGUAAUAUGAAGAAAAAAAUCCAAAUUGAGCUUCUGGAGAAUAAAAAUACACAAUGUGAAACAGAAAGUUAGCAGAUUACACUGUGAACACACACACACACCUACACACACACACAGAUUAGUAAACUUGAAGAUAUAACAAUAAAACCUAAACAAAAUGAAGCACACAGGAAAGAUGGAAAAAAUGAGCAGAGCAUCAGGACUUGUGAGAGAAUAUCCAGUGGUCCAAAACAAAUGUAAUCGUCCUACACACAGAGAACAGAGAAGGGGGUGUAGAAAAAUUAUUUGAAGAAUAGUAAAAAUUUUUGAAAUUUGUUAAGAACUAUAAACCAAUAGAUUCAAGAAGAUGAACAAACUUCCAGCAGAAGAAAUAUGAAGGAAACAACACGGGGUCACAUAUUAAUCAGAUUGCUGCAGAAAGAAAAUCUUAAAAGCAGUUUACAUAAGAGGAACACAGAAACAUAUUACAUAAUUAUUUAGGCGUCAUUGUCUUAAUCCCUUUGCUACAAAGGGAUACCUGAGGUUUUAUAAUUUAUAACGGUUAUAAUUUCUUACGGUUCUGCAGAUUGUACAGGAAGCAUGGUGCCAGCCUCUGCUUGUGGUGAGGCCUCAGGAGCUUCCACUCAUGGUGGAAGGUGAAGGGGAGCAGGCAUCACAUGGUGAGAAGAAGAAAGAGAAAAGAGGAAGGUGCCAGCCUCUUUUUGACAAAUCAGAUCUCGAGGUUGACCAAUAGAAUGGGAAGUCCUUUAUUACCAUGAAGACAGUACCAAGCCAUAUACAAGGCAACCGCUCCCAUGACCCAAACGCCUUCCACUAGGCACUUCCUCCAACACUGAGGAUCAAAGUUCAAUAUUAGAUUUGGUGGGGAGAAAUUCCCAAACUGUUUCAGUCAUAAAGAUAAGAAUGGCAGCAUACUUUGCAUCAGAAAAAAAUGCAAGCCAGAAGAAAAUGGAAUGACAUCUUUAAAGUACUAAAAGUAAAGUAUUCUCAAAUGAGAAUUUUAUAACUAAUGAAUACAUCUUUCAAAAAUGAAAGUGGUCUUUUGCUUUUGAGUAUGAGGGACUAAAGCUCUAGCUGAUAACAUCCUCCUUCAGGAAACAACUAUAAACCCAGAACGCAAUACAAAGAAACAUUUCUACUCAAAUGUGCUGUGCUAGAAAGUAAGCAGAGGUAGUUAAGCUUUACUAAAAGCAGUAGGGGAGGACUCCUUACUUAAGGGGUGGAGACGUGGAUUAUGAAUCUAUGAGGUUUAGCCUAUGCUAAAUGCAGUCUGCCUAGCAAGCACAGUGGCAGCACAGUCUCACAUGGAAAAACCUAUAGCCUUUCUGCCUAGGAAACGAGAAAGUCAAUCUGAGACACUGCAGACACUGCAGAGAGCAGAGAAAUUGUUGAAGAGGCAGAGAAGGGAUACUCCACCCUCUCUACCCACAACUCUGAUUGACCUGUGUAUUAGUCUGCUCUUCCAUUGCUAUAAAGUACUACCUGAGACUGGAUAAUUUAUAAAGAAAAGAGGUUUAAUUAGCUGACAGUUCUGCAGGCUGUGCAGGAAGCAUGGCUAUGGAGGCCUCAGGAAACUUACAAUCAUGGCAGAGGGUGAAGGAGAAGAGGGCACAUCUUCACAUGGCUGGAGUAGGAGGAAAAGAGAGAAGGGAGAAGUGCCAUACACUUUGAAACGACCAUAUCUUGUGAGAAUUCACUUAAGGAGAACUCACUGUUUUGAGAACAGCAAGGGGGAAAUCCAUCCCCUUGAUCCAAUCACCUCUCACCAGGCCCCUCCUCUGACAUUGGGAUUACAGUUCGAAAUGAGAUUUGGGCAAGGACACAAAUCCAAACCAUAACAAUCUGAAACACACAUGUGCAGAGCAGACUCAUGCAGCUUAGCUAGAAGCAAAGUAUCUGAAUGAAGCUAUCCCAAGAUAGAGAGUUUAAAGUUCAAACUCAGCCAAGAAAAUUACUUGCCAAAACAAAGAGAACACAGGUUUUCAGAGAAAAUAACAGAAUCCAGAAUGCCAACACUUCAAUACUCACAAUUUCUAAAAUAUAGUCCAAAGUUAAAUGACAUAUGAAAAAACAAGAAAAUAAAAUACAUUCUGAAGAGGGAAGAAAAGAUAAAUAAUUUAGCAAGAACUCAAAUGACAAAAAUGUUAAAACUAUAUUUUAAAGAGGUUGUUAUAAUUAUCCUAAAUAAAGGAAAACAAGACGUAUU
rnacentral:lncRNA from 1 species